GACGAACGCUGGCGGCGUGCCUAAUACAUGCAAGUAGAACGCUGAAGAGAGGAGCUUGCUCUUCUUGGAUGAGUUGCGAACGGGUGAGUAACGCGUAGGUAACCUGCCUGGUAGCGGGGGAUAACUAUUGGAAACGAUAGCUAAUACCGCAUAAAAUUGAUUAUUGCAUGAUAAUUAAUUGAAAGAUGCAAUUGCAUCACUACCAGAUGGACCUGCGUUGUAUUAGCUAGUUGGUGAGGUAACGGCUCACCAAGGCGACGAUACAUAGCCGACCUGAGAGGGUGAUCGGCCACACUGGGACUGAAACACGGCCCAGACUCCUACGGGAGGCAGCAGUAGGGAAUCUUCGGCAAUGGGGGAACCCUGACCGAGCAACGCCGCGUGAGUGAAGAAGGUUUUCGGAUCGUAAAGCUCUGUUGUAAGAGAAGAACGGGUGUGAGAGUGGAAAGUUCACACUGUGACGGUAUCUUACCAGAAAGGGACGGCUAACUACGUGCCAGCAGCCGCGGUAAUACGUAGGUCCCGAGCGUUGUCCGGAUUUAUUGGGCGUAAAGCGAGCGCAGGCGGUUAGAUAAGUCUGAAGUUAAAGGCUGUGGCUUAACCAUAGUAUGCUUUGGAAACUGUUUAACUUGAGUGCAGAAGGGGAGAGUGGAAUUCCAUGUGUAGCGGUGAAAUGCGUAGAUAUAUGGAGGAACACCGGUGGCGAAAGCGGCUCUCUGGUCUGUAACUGACGCUGAGGCUCGAAAGCGUGGGGAGCAAACAGGAUUAGAUACCCUGGUAGUCCACGCCGUAAACGAUGAGUGCUAGGUGUUAGGCCCUUUCCGGGGCUUAGUGCCGCAGCUAACGCAUUAAGCACUCCGCCUGGGGAGUACGACCGCAAGGUUGAAACUCAAAGGAAUUGACGGGGGCCCGCACAAGCGGUGGAGCAUGUGGUUUAAUUCGAAGCAACGCGAAGAACCUUACCAGGUCUUGACAUCCCUCUGACCGCUCUAGAGAUAGAGUUUUCCUUCGGGACAGAGGUGACAGGUGGUGCAUGGUUGUCGUCAGCUCGUGUCGUGAGAUGUUGGGUUAAGUCCCGCAACGAGCGCAACCCCUAUUGUUAGUUGCCAUCAUUCAGUUGGGCACUCUAGCGAGACUGCCGGUAAUAAACCGGAGGAAGGUGGGGAUGACGUCAAAUCAUCAUGCCCCUUAUGACCUGGGCUACACACGUGCUACAAUGGCUGGUACAACGAGUCGCAAGCCGGUGACGGCAAGCUAAUCUCUGAAAGCCAGUCUCAGUUCGGAUUGUAGGCUGCAACUCGCCUACAUGGAGUCGGAACCGCUAGUAAUCGCGGAUCAGCACGCCGCGGUGAAUACGUUCCCGGGCCU
rnacentral:rRNA from 1 species